rnacentral:siRNA from 1 species
AGCUAGCUUCGGUCUUAGCUCACC